rnacentral:rRNA from 1 species
GAUGAACGCUGGCGGCGUGCUUAACACAUGCAAGUCGAACGGAAAGGCCCAAGCUUGCUUGGGUACUCGAGUGGCGAACGGGUGAGUAACACGUGGGUGAUCUGCCCUGCACUUCGGGAUAAGCCUGGGAAACUGGGUCUAAUACCGGAUAGGACGAUGGUUUGGAUGCCAUUGUGGAAAGUUUUUUCGGUGUGGGAUGAGCUCGCGGCCUAUCAGCUUGUUGGUGGGGUAAUGGCCUACCAAGGCGUCGACGGGUGGCCGGCCUGAGAGGGUGUACGGCCACAUUGGGACUGAGAUACGGCCCAGACUCCUACGGGAGGCAGCAGUGGGGAAUAUUGCACAAUGGGCGCAAGCCUGAUGCAGCGACGCCGCGUGGGGGAUGACGGCCUUCGGGUUGUAAACUCCUUUCGCUAGGGACGAAGCGUUUUUGUGACGGUACCUGGAGAAGAAGCACCGGCUAACUACGUG